UCGGCGGGGCGCGAGGUCGCCGUCGCCGCCAGCGCGGCCGCCGCCCCGGCACCCGCCGGCGGGCCGCCCGAGUGGAACGCGGGCCCGGAUGGAACGCCGGGGAACCCGGAGGAGGGGCUCUGGUCGCCGGGAACGAGGCAGGCGGCGGGGUUUGGAGACAGAAAACUUAUCACAAGAUGCGGCCACCCUGGACCUGCAUUCCUACAGAGCAACAGGGGCAGAGGCGCCCUAUAGCCGGGCCGCGAUGAAGCAGGUUGCCCACCGCUGAGUUCAGUGACUGUAAAGUUAGCCAGCAUGGAUUGAGAUGCGGCCCCGUGCUGGGCCUGCAUACACAGUGCUCCCUUGAUGCUCACGACGCCCCCGUGACGGCAGGACCUUGCAGAGAAGGAAACCAGCUGCUCGUCUGAGGUCACGUGGUGUGAGUGGCAGGGCUCUGAUUUACCAACGCUGACAGCAGCAAUGUCCAACAGCUAGUGGGCGGGGAACACUCUCUGUAGGCCAAGCCCCGCAGUUAAUGCGGGACACACCAGUUCACCGGAUCCCAACUCACCCUGUACAGCGGGCUCUACCAUGGCCCCAUUUUACAGAGGAGGAAACUGGGGCUGAGAGGGGAGGUCAUUCACUGGGCUUCCCAACAGGUAAGGUGUCCAGCCAGGACUCAAACCUCUACCUGCCCAAGCUUGCAACGACUGCCUAUGAUUUUACCUGGACCAUAUCACACUGCAGUUAUGGCACGUGGAAGCCUUAAAUAUACGGAUGCCAACACACAGCCAUCUGACCUACACGGGUAAUUCUUUCCACCACCUUGGCCUAGAAAUCAGCGGGUGCCAGGAGAGGGGCAGGUCCGUCCCUCUUUUGGUCUCCCAUAGUCUAGGUGCUCCUAACACGUAAAGUUAUUUAUUUCUGUCUACCAACAUCAUCUGUUCAUCAAGUAAAGAUACGGUGAACUUGACAAUGAUGAAGGAAAAGGUGAGGUGUCCUCACUAAGAACUAGUAGGGAAGUGUGCUUUCACGGCCCACUUUCGAUACAAGGAACAAGAGCAGAUAUGUCUGAAUAUAAGAAAGUAGCCAGUGUAAACUUCCAUGUCAGAGUUGAUGAAAAUAGUCAUGCGAACUUCCCAACAACUGAGUGCAGAGGUGCUGGUUCACCCAGAUGCUCUCUGGAAGGGAACUGGCAGUGCUGAGGUCCCUGAGGAAGGGGAACGGGGCAGCUGGAGGAGAGAGACUCUCUCUUCCUCUCCACCCCUGUUUUGUUUGCUGCUUCUCCCGCCAUCUCUGGUCCCACAUCUAAUCCCAGGCCUGCAGGUGCCCACUCUGAGGCACUGGAUGUGUCCUUAAACGGCAUCCGUGAGAAAUCCGGAGUGCUUGUGUGGAUGUGGGUUGUUAAAAGAUGCUUGAAUUUGC